AAAUAUAAAUAUAACUUCUCCAGAUGAAAGCUACAUUAUCUGAGAUGAAAAAUACACUAAAUGAAAUUAACAGUAGUUUAUGCAUUAUAGAAGGAAAGACUAGUGAGGUUGGUGAUGUAAAAACAGAGAUGAAUAAAAAUAAAUUGCAGAGAGGAAACAAAAAUGAAAAGAGCAUCAGUGAGCUGAAGGACAACUUCAGGUGGUCCAAUAUACAUGUAAUUACAUUUUCCAAAGGAAAAGGGAAAUGGAAGGGUGGGUAUUUGAACCAAUAAAAGGAGUUUUAUUUUCAAUAUUUUUGCAAAGCUGAACUAUAGAUCACUGUAUGCAAGAAGUUUAAUGUAGCAUAAGUACAAGAUAGAUGAAGAAAACUACAUCAAAGUCCAUUGCAAUUAAAUUUCCAAAAACUAGUAAUAAAGAGAAAAUGUUAAAAAGAAGCCAGAAUAAUAAAACACAUGCUACAUACAUAGAAACACAAGAUAGGGAUGCCAGCACACUUCUCAUCAGAAAGAAUACAAGAAAAAAAAAAAAAAGAGUGGAGCAUCAUUUUCAAAGCAUUGAAUAAAAACACCUGUCAAUCCAGAAUUAUAUACACAAUGAAAAUAUCUUUCAAAAGGGAAGGUAAAGUAAGAAAAUUUUUACACAUACAAAAGUUGACAGAAUCUAUCACCAAAAGACCUGUAUUAUUUCCUUCUUCAGGCAUAAAGAAAAUAACACUGGAUGAAAUAUGCACCUACUUAAAGGAAUAAGGGGCACUUGGAAUUGUAACUACAUGGGUAAAGAAUAUAAG
rnacentral:lncRNA from 10 species